CUCGCUUCUUGGCCUUUUGGCUAAGAUCAAGUGUAGUAUCUGUUCUUAUCAAUUUAAAUUAAGCCAACUAAACACAAGGCCUAAAUGAUUCUUAGAGUUUGGAUAGUUUUUGCCAGUAUCAUUCCUUUAUAUAAAUGUGAAAAAGUCAUUAGCAUUUUUUGGAACUUAA
rnacentral:snRNA from 2 species